UGCAGUCGAGCGGCAGCGGGAAGUAGCUUGCUACUUUGCCGGCGAGCGGCGGACGGGUGAGUAAUGUCUGGGGAUCUGCCCGAUGGAGGGGGAUAACUACUGGAAACGGUAGCUAAUACCGCAUAACGUCGCAAGACCAAAGUGGGGGACCUUAGGGCCUCACACCAUCGGAUGAACCCAGAUGGGAUUAGCUAGUAGGUGGGGUAACGGCNCACCUAGGCGACGAUCCCUAGCUGGUCUGAGAGGAUGACCAGCCACACUGGAACUGAGACACGGUCCAGACUCCUACGGGAGGCAGCAGUGGGGAAUAUUGCACAAUGGGCGCAAGCCUGAUGCAGCCAUGCCGCGUGUGUGAAGAAGGCCUUCGGGUUGUAAAGCACUUUCAGCGGGGAGGAAGGGGUUGAGGUUAAUAACCUUAAUCAUUGACGUUACCCGCAGAAGAAGCACCGGCUAACUCCGUGCCAGCAGCCGCGGUAAUACGGAGGGUGCGAGCGUUAAUCGGAAUUACUGGGCGUAAAGCGUACGCAGGCGGUUUGUUAAGUCAGAUGUGAAAUCCCCGAGCUUAACUCGGGAACUGCAUUUGAAACUGGCAGGCUAGAGUCUCGUAGAGGGGGGUAGAAUUCCAGGUGUAGCGGUGAAAUGCGUAGAGAUCUGGAGGAAUACCGGUGGCGAAGGCGGCCCCCUGGACGAAGACUGACGCUCAGGUACGAAAGCGUGGGGAGCAAACAGGAUUAGAUACCCUGGUAGUCCACGCUGU
rnacentral:rRNA from 1 species